AACGAACGCUGGCGGCAUGCCUAACACAUGCAAGUCGAACGAGACUUCGGUCUAGUGGCGGACGGGUGAGUAACGCGUAGGAACCUGCCAAGCAGUGGGGAAUAACAGCUGGAAACGGCUGCUAAUACCGCAUACGCCCUUCGGGGGAAAGAUUUAUCGCUGUUUGAGGGUCCUGCGUUCGAUUAGCUAGUUGGUGAGGUAACGGCCCACCAAGGCGACGAUCGAUAGCUGGUCUGAGAGGAUGAUCAGCCACACUGGGACUGAGACACGGCCCAGACUCCUACGGGAGGCAGCAGUGGGGAAUAUUGGACGAUGGGGGAAACCCUGAUCCAGCAAUGCCGCGUGCGUGAAGAAGGCCUUAGGGUUGUAAAGCGCUUUCACCUGUGAUGAUGAUGACAGUAACAGGAGAAGAAGCCCCGGCUAACUCCGUG
rnacentral:rRNA from 1 species